rnacentral:rRNA from 1 species
AAGCGGAGCUUGCUCUGCUGGAUCAGUGGCGAACGGGUGAGUAACACGUGAGCAAUCUGCCCCUGACUCUGGGAUAAGCGCUGGAAACGGCGUCUAAUACCGGAUACGAGCUGCGAAGGCAUCUUCAGCAGCUGGAAAGAAUUUCGGUCAGGGAUGAGCUCGCGGCCUAUCAGCUUGUUGGUGAGGUAAUGGCUCACCAAGGCGUCGACGGGUAGCCGGCCUGAGAGGGUGACCGGCCACACUGGGACUGAGACACGGCCCAGACUCCUACGGGAGGCAGCAGUGGGGAAUAUUGCACAAUGGGCGCAAGCCUGAUGCAGCAACGCCGCGUGAGGGACGACGGCCUUCGGGUUGUAAACCUCUUUUAGCAGGGAAGAAGCGAAAGUGACGGUACCUGCAGAAAAAGCACCGGCUAACUACGUGCCAGCAGCCGCGGUAAUACGUAGGGUGCAAGCGUUAUCCGGAAUUAUUGGGCGUAAAGAGCUCGUAGGCGGUUUGUCGCGUCUGCUGUGAAAUCUGGGGGCUCAACCCCCAGCCUGCAGUGGGUACGGGCAGACUAGAGUGCGGUAGGGGAGAUUGGAAUUCCUGGUGUAGCGGUGGAAUGCGCAGAUAUCAGGAGGAACACCGAUGGCGAAGGCAGAUCUCUGGGCCGUAACUGACGCUGAGGAGCGAAAGGGUGGGGAGCAAACAGGCUUAGAUACCCUGGUAGUCCACCCCGUAAACGUUGGGAACUAGUUGUGGGGUCCAUU